rnacentral:rRNA from 1 species
GACGAACGCUGGCGGCGUGCCUAAUACAUGCAAGUCGAACGCAUUUUCUUUCACCGUAGCUUGCUACACCGAAAGAAAAUGAGUGGCGAACGGGUGAGUAACACGUGGGUAACCUGCCCAUCAGCGGGGGAUAACACUUGGAAACAGGUGCUAAUACCGCAUAAUUCCAUUUACUGCAUGGUAGAUGGAUGAAAGGCGCUUUUGCGUCACUGAUGGAUGGACCCGCGGUGCAUUAGCUAGUUGGUGGGGUAACGGCCUACCAAGGCUGCGAUGCAUAGCCGACCUGAGAGGGUGAUCGGCCACACUGGGACUGAGACACGGCCCAGACUCCUACGGGAGGCAGCAGUAGGGAAUCUUCGGCCAUGGACGCAAGUCUGACCGAGCAACGCCGCGUGAGUGAAGAAGGUUUUCGGAUCGUAAAACUCUGUUGUUAGAAAAGAACAAGGAUGAGAGUGGAAAGUUCAUCCCUUGACGGUAUCUAACCAGAAAGCCACGGCUAACUACGUG